AUGAACCGCUUCGCCGACCUCACCAACGCCGAGUUCCGCGCCGCCUACCUCGGCGCGGGCGCCGCUGGCAGGGCCCGCAACGCCGUCGGCGAUCGCUACAGGUACCAUGCCGAGGACGUGCUGCCGGCGUCCGUGGACUGGAGGGAGAAGGGCGCCGUGGCGCCCGUGAAGAACCAGGGCCAGUGCGGGAGCUGCUGGGCGUUCUCCACGGUCGCCGCGGUGGAAGGCGUCAACAAGAUCGUCACCGGGGAUCUCGUGAAGCUGUCGGAGCAGGAGCUCCUUGACUGCUCACGCAACGGGCAGAACAGCGGGUGCAACGGCGGCAUCAUGGACGACGCCUUCGACUUCAUCGUCCGGAACGGCGGCAUCGACACCGAGGAGGACUACCCCUACACCGCCAAGGAGGGCAAGUGCGACCUCGCCAAGAAGGCCCGCAAGGUCGUUUCCAUCGACGGGUUCGAGGACGUGCCCGCCGACGACGAGGCGUCGCUGAUGAAGGCCGUGGCGCACCAGCCGGUGAGCGUCGCCAUCGAAGCCGGCGGGCGCGAGUUCCAGCUCUACGAGUCCGGGGUCUUCACGGGGCGGUGCGGCACGGAGCUGGACCACGCCGUGCUCGCGGUGGGCUACGGCAAGGAGGCGGACGGCGGCAAGGACUACUGGCUCGUGCGCAACUCGUGGGGUCCGGGCUGGGGCGAGGGCGGCUACAUCCGGAUGGAGCGCAACGUGACCGCGCGCGCCGGCAAGUGCGGCAUCGCCAUGUUCGCGUCCUACCCCGUCAAGAACGGGCCCAACCCGAAGCCGGCACCGCCGGCGCCGGAGGAGAAGUGCGAUCGCUACAGUUCAUGCCCGGCGGGGAGCACAUGCUGCUGCACGUACGGCGUGAGGAACGUGUGCCUUGCGUGGGGAUGCUGCCCGGCCGAGGGCGCCACCUGUUGCAGGGACCGGGCGACCUGCUGCCCGUCAGAGUACCCUGUGUGCAAUGUCCGGAAUCACACCUGCGCCAAGAGCAAGGGAAGCCCGUACACUGUGGAUGCGCUGCCCCGGACGCCGGCGAAGCGACAGAGGACCGCGGUCUCAGAGCUAGUUGAUUCGAUCUUUUCGAUAUAG
rnacentral:rRNA from 1 species